GGUCCCUGUGGCAGCACUGGUGGUGGGGGACAUUGCCCAGGUCAAAUACGGAGACCUUCUGCCUGCCGACGGUGUGCUAAUCCAAGGCAAUGACCUCAAGAUCGAUGAGAGCUCCCUGACGGGCGAGUCAGACCAUGUGCGCAAGUCAGCAGACAAAGACCCUAUGCUGCUCUCAGGCACUCAUGUCAUGGAAGGUUCUGGAAGAAUGGUGGUAACAGCUGUUGGCGUGAACUCCCAGACAGGCAUCAUCUUUACAUUGCUUGGAGCUGGUGGAGAGGAGGAGGAGAAGAAAGACAAGAAAGGCAAGCAGCAGGAUGGGGCGAUGGACAGUAGCCAAACCAGAGGUAACGUGCGUGCAUGGCUCAGGGCUGCUGAGGAGC